AGGGGCGUAGUCUAGCUUGGUUUUAUGAUUCCUGAUUUGGGAUCAGGCGAUCGCGGGUUCAAAUCCCGCCGCCCCUA
rnacentral:tRNA from 1 species